rnacentral:misc_RNA from 1 species
GUGAAUCAUCGAAUUUUUGAACGCAAAUUGCACUCCCUGGUAUUCCGGGGAGUAUGCCUGUUUGAGGGUCGGUAGAAGUAAAAUCGAAGCAUCGCUCUUUUUUUGAGGGUGAUCGCGUGGGAGUUGGGCCGCCUGUCAUAGGUUAAGUCAUGUCAAAGUGGCUUAGAUUUCAUCGAUCGGAUACGAUUAAAGCGACGUUAGG